rfam:Oryza rufipogon genomic scaffold, chr06
GAUUUCAGCUGAAAAAGUCAUCAAUAACAAAGCUGUAUAACUCAUCAAGAUCUAUAACUUCUAUUUUGGUCAUUUCUUCAUCCGAUAAAGUGAUUUGUAAGAUUGUUCACAAAAUGUACAUCUCUUAUAUAGUUUAUAUGUAAACUAUAUAAGAGAUGUAUAUUUUGUGAACAAUCUUACAAAUCACUUUAUCGGAUGAAGAAAUGACCAAAAUAGAAGUUAUAGAUCUUGAUGAGUUAUACAGCUUUGUUAUUGAUGACUUUUUCAGUUGAAAUC